CCUAUCAGAGACCAGAUAGACCUGGAUGAUAUCUGGUGGCCUGAAAAGACUGAGGGUCAGCCUUCUGCCGUCCACAUGUGCCCAAGGAUGCUAUCCACAUAUAUUUCAUAAAUAACCUGAAAUGAUCUCUAUCAUCAAAAUGUUUUGCAAUGUGUCAUAUACAUGGGUAAACAAAUACCACAGUGAUGGAGUUUGGGUGAUAUGAAGCCCAGAGAUCACAGCCAAAACACACACAAAUAACACUUGGAAGGACAAAGAAAUGACUUCACCAAAAAGACUGAAAAUCAAAGGAUGACAGAACAAUUCUAACAUCUGUGCUGAAUGCUUGGACAUUCUCCCUCAAAAGCUUUGCCCACAUCACAUGUUGUACCUUUUAGAAAUGACACAAUAAUAACAUUCUAUCCAUUCCAUCCUGCUGGGAUUAGUCCCAGCUAUAACCCUGUCUAACUGGUGACAAGAUCUGCCCAGUACAGAAUUCAAAGAUGCCAUUGUUAUGAUCCCUUUUAUAAAGGAACCUGCCUGGCUUCUCCCAUUGCAGAGUUGAGAGCAAAUCCAGAGCUUCUUCCAAGAUGCUACUGAUCCUGCUCUCAGUGGCCUUGCUGGCCCUGAGCUCGGUUCAAGCUUCAGUUUCUGAAAGCAGCAGUGAAGAGUCUCUGAGAACUGUAUUAGAUGAAACCAGCUCAGACUCAAGCUCGGAUGAGGAUGUUUUCAUACUAUCCCGUGGAAAACGCAGAGAACGCAGAGGACCACCACCUUCUCCUAAUGAUGAAAAUGAAGAUGAGGAAGCUCCACCAGGACCACCUCCACCAGGACCACCUCCACCAGGACCACCUCCACCGAGACCACCCCCACCAAGGGAUGAACCUCAGCCAAGUCCACCCUCACCAGAGGAGCAACCUGAGCAGAGUCCAGAUGAAGACUCACCAUCAGAGUAAUCUGAAAGUCAUUGUCAG
rnacentral:lncRNA from 1 species